rnacentral:lncRNA from 1 species
GGUAGUCCCAGUUACCUCAUCUGCCACCUCCCAGACUCCUGCACUCUGGGGCACAAGAACUGCCUGGUGGCAGGGGCUGCUUCGGGAGUCUAGCUUGCUCCAGUUCUCAUGGCUUGCAGGCGGUUGCUGUGUCAGAGGGAGUUUUCAGGUAAGGGUGCUUCCCUCCUCCAGUGUUUGCCCGCUGUGCACACCAUUGCAGUCCCGGGCUGGGUGCAGAAGGCUGAGCAGGUGUGGGUGGGUGUGGGGCCUUCUCCCUUCCUCUUAUUUCCUCUACCAAGUUCUGCCCAGAACUAGGCUGCACAACACCGGGGGACAAGGCACAGAGGCCUGGAGUGGAGGAGGCAAGGAAAUGGGGACCUGACUGUGUCUUGGGUGGGGAGGUGGAAUACUGAGGCAGAGGUCAGAGUUUGACUUCUGAAUGAAACAUGACAUUUUUUCCCCUUUCUGGGCCUCAACUUCUUACCUGUGAGUUCAAGUAGCUGAGCAUGUGCCUGAGUAUUGUCUAUGCUAGAUGAUAUAGCAUAUAAAUGUGUUUAAUCCCAGCAGAGGUAGGCAAUCUCUGUGAGUUCAAGACUAGCCUCUUCUGCAUAGUGCAUCUCUUGUGUGUUGCAGGUCAGAAAGAUCCUAUCUC